GUGCUCGCUUCGGCAGCAUAUAUACUAAAAUUGGAAUGCCGUAGAGAUUAGCAUGGCCCCUGCACAAGGAUGGCAUGCAAAUUUGUGAAGCAUUCCGUAUUUAA